AUUGAACGCUGGCGGCAUGCUUUACACAUGCAAGUCGAGCGGCAGCGCGGGGGCAACCCUGGCGGCGAGCGGCGAACGGGUGAGUAAUGCAUCGGAACGUACCCCGUAGUGGGGGAUAACCCAGCGAAAGCUGGGCUAAUACCGCAUAUGCUCUACGGAGGAAAGUGGGGGACUCGCAAGGGCCUCACGCUAUGGGAGCGGCCGAUGUCCGAUUAGCUAGUUGGUGGGGUAAUGGCCCACCAAGGCGACGAUCGGUAGCUGGUCUGAGAGGAUGAUCAGCCACACUGGGACUGAGACACGGCCCAGACUCCUACGGGAGGCUG
rnacentral:rRNA from 1 species